ACCAGCAAUGUGUGAAGAUACAUAUUACCUCUUAAUCCUCACAAUAGACUUAAGAGUUAAGUUGUUAUCCUAAUUUUUUAAGUGGGGAAACUGACUCACAGAGAGAUUCAGUACCUUUUCCAAAAAUUGCAGAGCUAAGAAGUGACAGAAUCGGGAUUUAAAAUCUGGCGGUGUGGCUCUACAAUCUGCUUUGAACUUUAACAUAAUAUGUACAAAGCCUGAAGCAAAUUCUCAGUACUGUAUUUAAGAGGGCAUAGCAAUUAAGAAGAAAAAGAGCAAAGAUAAGAAGAGAAAAAGAGAAGAUGAAGAAACCCAGCUUGAUAUGUUGGAAUCUGGUGAACAGUAACAAACUUUGGUGAAAUUUCAGGAACCAUAGCCAUUGAAGUGGAUGAGGGAACCUAUAUACAUGCACUCAACAAUGGUCUUUUUACCCUGGGAGCU
rnacentral:lncRNA from 1 species